GAGUAGGGCGGGACACGAGGAAUCCUGUCUGAAUCCGGGUCGACCACGAUCCAACCCUAAAUACUAAUACCAGAUCGAUAGUGCACAAGUACCGUGAGGGAAAGGUGAAAAGAACUGAGGUGAUCAGAGUGAAAUAGAACCUGAAACCAUUUGCUUACAAUCAUUCAGAGCCCUAUGUAGCAAUACAGGGUGAUGGACUGCCUUUUGCAUAAUGAGCCUGCGAGUUGUGGUGUCUGGCAAGGUUAAGCAAACGCGAAGCCGUAGCGAAAGCGAGUCUGAAUAGGGCGCUUAGUCAGAUGCUGCAGACCCGAAACGAAGUGAUCUAUCCAUGAGCAAGUUGAAGCUAGUGUAAGAACUAGUGGAGGACUGAACCCAUAGGCGUUGAAAAGCCCCGGGAUGACUUGUGGAUAGGGGUGAAAGGCCAAUCAAACUUCGUGAUAGCUGGUUCUCUCCGAAAUAUAUUUAGGUAUAGCGUUGUGUCGUAAUAUAAGGGGGUAGAGCACUGAAUGGGCUAGGGCAUACACCAAUGUACCAAACCCUAUCAAACUCCGAAUACCUUAUAUGUAAUCACAGCAGUCAGGCGGCGAGUGAUAAAAUCCGUCGUCAAGAGGGAAACAA
rnacentral:rRNA from 1 species